rnacentral:tRNA from 1 species
AAGAUUUUAAGUUAAUUAAACUGAAGACUUUCAAGGUCUUUUAUAAAUAUAUAUGUUUAAGUCUUG